rfam:Camelus ferus unplaced genomic scaffold scaffold363, whole genome shotgun sequence.
GAGGGUAUAGCUUAGCAGUAGAGUGAAUGCCUAGCAUGCAUGAGGUCCUGGGUUCAAUCCCCAGUACCUCCA